CAGUCGCCGCGGUAAUACGAAGGGGGCUAGCGUUGUUCGGAAUUACUGGGCGUAAAGCGCACGUAGGCGGACAUUUAAGUCAGGGGUGAAAUCCCGGGGCUCAACCCCGGAACUGCCUUUGAUACUGGGUGUCUAGAGUAUGGAAGAGGUGAGUGGAAUUCCGAGUGUAGAGGUGAAAUUCGUAGAUAUUCGGAGGAACACCAGUGGCGAAGGCGGCUCACUGGUCCAUUACUGACGCUGAGGUGCGAAAGCGUGGGGAGCAAACAGGAUUAGAUACCCCGGUAGUCCCUGUCUCUUAUAA
rnacentral:rRNA from 1 species